UGGCUUCUCGCUAUCACUUCUGGAUGGACCUGCGGUGCAUUAGCUUGUUGGUGGGGUAACGGCCUACCAAGGCGAUGAUGCAUAGCCGAGUUGAGAGACUGAUCGGCCACAAUGGGACUGAGACACGGCCCAUACUCCUACGGGAGGCAGCAGUAGGGAAUCUUCCACAAUGGGCGCAAGCCUGAUGGAGCAACACCGCGUGAGUGAAGAAGGGUUUCGGCUCGUAAAGCUCUGUUGUUAAAGAAGAACAAGUAUGAGAGUAACUGUUCAUACGUUGACGGUAUUUAACCAGAAAGUCACGGCUAACUACGUGCCAGCAGCCGCGGUAAUACGUAGGUGGCAAGCGUUAUCCGGAUUUAUUGGGCGUAAAGAGAGUGCAGGCGGUUUUCUAAGUCUGAUGUGAAAGCCUUCGGCUUAACCGGAGAAGUGCAUCGGAAACUGGAUAACUUGAGUGCAGAAGAGGGUAGUGGAACUCCAUGUGUAGCGGUGGAAUGCGUAGAUAUAUGGAAGAACACCAGUGGCGAAGGCGGCUACCUGGUCUGCAACUGACGCUGAGACUCGAAAGCAUGGGUAGCGAACAGGAUUAGAUACCCUGGUAGUCCAUGCCGUAAACGAUGAGUGCUAGGUGUUGGAGGGUUUCCGCCCUUCAGUGCCGGAGCUAACGCAUUAAGCACUCCGCCUGGGGAGUACGACCGCAAGGUUGAAACUCAAAGGAAUUGACGGGGGCCCGCACAAGCGGUGGAGCAUGUGGUUUAAUUCGAAGCUACGCGAAGAACCUUACCAGGUCUUGACAUCUUGCGCCAACCCUAGAGAUAGGGCGUUUCCUUCGGGAACGCAAUGACAGGUGGUGCAUGGUCGUCGUCAGCUCGUGUCGUGAGAUGUUGGGUUAAGUCCCGCAACGAGCGCAACCCUUGUUACUAGUUGCCAGCAUUAAGUUGGGCACUCUAGUGAGACUGCCGGUGACAAACCGGAGGAAGGUGGGGACGACGUCAGAUCAUCAUGCCCCUUAUGACCUGGGCUACACACGUGCUACAAUGGACGGUACAACGAGUCGCGAACUCGCGAGGGCAAGCAAAUCUCUUAAAACCGUUCUCAGUUCGGACUGCAGGCUGCAACUCGCCUGCACGAAGUCGGAAUCGCUAGUAAUCGCGGAUCAGCAUGCCGCGGUGAAUACGUUCCCGGGCCUUGUACACACCGCCCGUCACACCAUGAGAGUUUGUAACACCCAAAGUCGGUGGGGU
rnacentral:rRNA from 2 species